rnacentral:rRNA from 1 species
AUGGGAACGCGAAGAACCUUACCCAGACUUGACAUCUCCUGAAUUAAUCGUAAUGGAUGAAAUCCCUUCGGGGACAGAAUGACAGGUGGUGCAUGGUUGUCGUCAGCUCGUGUCGUGAGAUGUUGGGUUAAGUCCCGCAACGAGCGCAACCCUUAUUGUUAGUUGCUACCAUUAAGUUGAGCACUCUAGUGAGACUGCCCGGGUUAACCGGGAGGAAGGUGGGGAUGACGUCAAAUCAUCAUGCCCCUUAUGUCUAGGGCUACACACGUGCUACAAUGGUGGGAACAAAGAGAUGCAAUACCGCAAGGUGGAGCUAAACUCAAAACCCCAUCCCAGUUCGGAUUGUAGGCUGAAACUCGACUCCAUGAAGUCGGAAUCGCUAGUAAUCGUAGAUCAGAAUGCUACGGUGAAUACGUUCCCGGGUCUUGUACACACCG